rnacentral:lncRNA from 1 species
AAAAACUAAAAGUUGAAACGUAUGAAGAAGAAAAAAGUGGAAAGAAAGAAAUCUCAGUCUCAGAUCUCCUUCCGAUCUACUUUCCACCGUCGUGCCACGCUCCUUCCAUCAUAGUUUCGCCGGAAUCGUCCCACCAAUACUAAUCUCUGCUUCAUCGAUGUUGAUACUUGCCCCGUCGAAGUUGCAGAGAUGCCGAUUGAAUACGCCGCUCGCCGAAGUUUCUAAGCUAUCCUUCAUCUCUCUUGAAAUGAAAAGGCACAAAGUUUGCAACUUUUUUGGAUAGAUUAUUAAUUUUUGCCUAUGGGUUUUUUUCAUAUUCUCCAUUGUUGCUGCUGCUGAUUCAUAUAUUGAAACGUAAAAGAAAGAAGGAAAAGAAACGAUAUCAGUUGCAGAUAAAAGGUGCAAAGAGAUAAAAAUCACCUCUUGGAUGCUUAGUUUCCAUCAUUGUUUCAAUUAAUUGUGCCUUUGGUUUUGUAAUCUUGCUGUGUUUUCUUUUGCACAACUUGUGCAUAAAUUCAUUUUUCAUAAUAAAAAUUUGCAAAAAGUUGCAGAGAGAAGGAAUGCAUUUGCGCCUUUGUUCUUGAGGUUAUUGGGUUGGGACUUUAACCUUAUUGGAUUGUGGUGGUGAUAAUAAAGAUUG